rnacentral:lncRNA from 1 species
UUAAACAAACACCAGGUAAAAAAAAAACCCUUUUCACCCUUAUAUUUAAAAAACAAACAAAACCAGCAGGUCCAACUCAUCCCACUCUAUUCCUGUAAAUUAUUGACUCUCUAAUAAAAACGGCUUUAUCACUAACUUAUACAACCCCAGCAACUCAAAACAGGGAUUAAAAAACAAACCAGGGAUAACUCCAAACAGGCCAGGACCUUUGCAGAUAUGGUAAUCAAAUGUUAAGGACUAUUUUCCCAUCCUGAACAGACAAACUGUAAACAAACUGAGAGGCUUGAAACAACAACUUUUUUCUCUCACAGGUGCAGAGGCCAAAAACACCUGAAAUCAAGGUAUCCACAGGGCCCCUCCCUCUGGCCCUGCAGGGGCAGGUCCUUCCUUGCCUCUUCUGGCUUCCAGUGUCCUCUGGUGAUCCUUGGGGUUUCUUGGCUUGUAGCUUUGUCACUCCAAACUCUGCCUCUUUUAUUACACUGCCAUCUCCACCCCAUUUUCCUCUGUCUUCACAUGCCAUCUCCUAAGGACAGCACUCACUGCUGGAUUAGGGACCCACCCUACUCCAAUAUGAUCUCACUGCAACAUCAUAGCUGCAAAAACUCUUGUAUCCUAAUAAGGUUCCAUUUUGCAGUACUGAGGACUAGGGCUUCAACAAAUCUUUUUGGGGAGAGACCAGCCCCUGAUACUUGGUAACCUUAUCUGGUGAACCAGUCUUUGUAAAGCCUGGAUUCUCUACAAACAGUCUCCCCAUAAACUGCUUCUCUAUCCUCAAUGCCUGGUCCCCAAGUUGUCCCAGGCCUGCCAUGCAUUCCUCCACCCCACUUCAGCUGCAGUGCCCUAGCUGGUGUUGCUGCCCAUGGCUGUACUCCCUGAGGCCAGGCCUCCCAUUGCCAGGCCUCCCAGUACCAGGCUGACAUCACUCCACAUCCUGCUAGCCCCAACCGUUGUAUUUUCACAGGUAGGUCUGAGGGAAGAAGAAAUCCUUUUUUGCUCUCCAGAGUGGAAGUCACAAUCAGAUAUGGACAAGCAUCAGGCAGGCUUUCCCACGGGACAACAAUUGUAGACACACAUUCUAGACACUGCGACCCUGUAGAGAACCGGGCAAAAAAUCAUCUGCACCAGAGUGGAGUAGAGCAUGCAUUUGGCAGAGAGUGGCAAAGAAAGGACAUUAGCAGAGGAUGGACAAGUGACAGCAGGGUCUCAAAAAGGAUGGACUGGUCCAGACCAAGGUCAAACUUUCCUUCUUGUGCUGAUCCUGAACUCAGUGCAGACUGGCUGGUGGCUGUUCCUUCUGGAGUUAUCAGUUUGGAGCUGAAGCAGCUUUUCAUCAAGACAACAGUUUCCCUGAAGCACAGAAAGGCUAUGGGAGGGUUGCUAAACAAAGCGAAAAUUAAAACAUCUAUUUGAAACAGAAGUGGAGCUCCAAGACAAAAGCCAAUUGGCCAGGCUGUCAGCUGCUAAGACAAAGUUUGUCUUCCCUUUUGCCUCUCUCUUUCACCAAAAAGCCUAGGCCACCAAGAGCCCUGGGGAGACAGACCAACAAAAAGUAUUAGCUAAGCAAAUUUAUUGCCUCCCACAAUGCUGUGCUAAGGUCACAGCCCUGCUAAAGAAAACAGGAGGGAAGCUGAGUCUCGCAGGCAGAGCCAGAAAACCAUCUGUGGUCAGGGGGACUUCCCCAUACUCUCCACACCCCGACCCUGCACUGCAGGGCAGAGGUAACCAGGCCUGAGAGGGAGGUCGCUCCUGGGAUAAAAAGAUGGAGUACAGGACUAGCCCGAGUUUAUAGUUGAGUUUUUUUUCCUUAAAAAGAGGAAAUCCAGCAUAGCAAUUUGCAUUUUAAAAAAAUAAGUGGAGGGUGGAGCUGGUGCCUGGAAGAGGAUGGAGGGCCUAGCCCCUAGCAGCGGCUUCUCCUGCUUAGGGCAGCACAGUACUAGCCCUCCUGAGGCAGGAGAAAAGAAAUAAAGAUAGGCUGAAAGGA